rnacentral:rRNA from 1 species
UACAGAGGUCCCAAGCGUUGUUCGGAUUCACUGGGCGUAAAGAGCGUGUAGGCGGCCAAACAGGUCCGUUGUGAAAACUGGAGGCUUAACCUCCAGACGUCGACGGAAACCGUGUGGCUAGAGUCCGGAAGAGGAGAGUGGAAUUCCUGGUGUAGCGGUGAAAUGCGCAGAUAUCAGGAAGAACACCCGUGGCGAAGGCGGCUCUCUGGGACGGUACUGACGCUGAGACGCGAAAGCGUGGGGAGCGAACAGG